GACGAACGCUGGCGGCGUGCUUAACACAUGCAAGUCGAACGGAAAGGCCCUGCUUUUGUGGGGUGCUCGAGUGGCGAACGGGUGAGUAACACGUGAGUAACCUGCCCUUGACUUUGGGAUAACUUCAGGAAACUGGGGCUAAUCCCGGAUAGGAGCUCCUGCUGCAUGGUGGGGGUUGGAAAGUUUCGGCGGUUGGGGAUGGACUCGCGGCUUAUCAGCUUGUUGGUGGGGUAGUGGCUUACCAAGGCUUUGACGGGUAGCCGGCCUGGGGGGGUGACCGGCCACAUUGGGACUGGGAUACGGCCCAGACUCCUACGGGGGGCGGCAGUGGGGAAUAUUGCACAAUGGGGGGAAGCCUGAUGCAGGAAGGCCGCGUGCGGGAGGACGGCCUUCGGGUUGUAAACCGCUUUCGCCUGUGACGAAGCGUGAGUGACGGUAAUGAGUAAAGAAGCACCGGCUAACUACGUG
rnacentral:rRNA from 1 species